CUUCCCGUCCCCACAUCCCCAAACAUAGUCCACUUCCUUUCUCCCGGAGGCAGCGGCCACCGGAGUCCGGCCCCCGCCCCGCUGCCCGCGAACGUCUUCCUCCCGGGGACGCGGUGCGGAGCCCGCUGCAAACGGCGUGGCCGCGGCACAAUACCGCGGCGCGGCGCGGCGCACACAAUCACCGCCCCCCAGGACCGGCGGCGCGCACGGCCAGGAGUGGGGUGCGCCCGGCAGCUCCGGGCACUUGAGGCUAGGCGCACCUCUCGGCACCCCGCAGGCCGCGGAGCGCAGCCUCCGCCCCUCCCCGCUCUCGGGCACACUCGCCCGACCCCAGCCCCAGUCCACUCCACCCCGGGCCAGCAGCUCGCCUGGCGCAGGAAGCUCCCCUUUGCACCCGCCUCUGCACCCCUCCUCUCCGCCCCGCCGUCAGCUCCAGUGUCCAGGCUGCGCUCACCUGUUCGACCCAAACAUUCCGGCGACCCGGAGCGCCCGCCGCCCGCUCGCUCCCGGCUCCCUCUGAAGGCCCCCGCCCCACUCCGCGGGUCAUUGUGCUCCAGCCGACCACACGGUGCCGGCUCCUUACGGCGCUCUGGCUACAGUUGUAAAGUCAUCGCAUAAUAUCAAGAAUGCUGCCCAGACCUGGGCGCGCACAGUACUCAGGGACUCAGCAGGAAAAGGAAGACGCACGACCCAAGGUCUGAACUCAGCAUUUAGCUGGAAGGAUAACCCCUAAACUUUGGAUCCUCCUGCCUUUACCCCCUGGGUGCUGGGGUUAUAGUGUUACCAUGCCUGCCGGUUUUUCAUGCAAUGCUAAGGACUGAACCAGGAGCUUUGUGUGAGGUCCACAACUGUGUAGCCCAGGCUGGUCUGAAAUUUACAGCUUAUUCCUCUGACUUCCAGAUGCUGAACUAAUACUAUCUUUGCUAACACUCUGUAGAGUGCUGCUGCUCGGUGUGCAUGAGGCCCUGGAUUUGCUUCUCUGCACUACUCAAUAAACAAAAUUUAGCAUCUCACCGUUAUCCAUUGGUUGGAAAUGACAUUUUAAAAAUAAACUAAUGUCCUAUA